rnacentral:rRNA from 1 species
UGAGGAAUAUUGGACAAUGGGCGCAAGCCUGAUCCAGCCAUGCCGCGUGCAGGAUGACGGUCCUAUGGAUUGUAAACUGCUUUUGUACAGGAAGAAACAGUUCUACGUGUAGAACCUUGACGGUACUGUAAGAAUAAGGAUCGGCUAACUCCGUGCCAGCAGCCGCGGUAAUACGGAGGAUCCAAGCGUUAUCCGGAAUCAUUGGGUUUAAAGGGUCCGUAGGCGGUUAGAUAAGUCAGUGGUGAAAGCCCAUCGCUCAACGGUGGAACGGCCAUUGAUACUGUCUGACUUGAAUUAUUAGGAAGUAACUAGAAUAUGUAGUGUAGCGGUGAAAUGCUUAGAGAUUACAUGGAAUACCAAUUGCGAAGGCAGGUUACUACUAAUGGAUUGACGCUGAUGGACGAAAGCGUGGGUAGCGAACAGGAUUAGAUACCCGUAGUAGUCCCUGAGCGGGCUGGCAAGGCGCAU